rnacentral:rRNA from 1 species
AUUGAACGCUGGCGGCAUGCCUUACACAUGCAAGUCGAACGGCAGCAUGGAGAGCUUGCUCUCUGAUGGCGAGUGGCGAACGGGUGAGUAAUGCAUCGGAACGUACCGUGUAAUGGGGGAUAACGUAGCGAAAGUUACGCUAAUACCGCAUACGACCUGAGGGUGAAAGCAGGGGAUCGCAAGACCUUGCGUUAUACGAGCGGCCGAUGUCAGAUUAGCUAGUUGGUGAGGUAAAGGCUCACCAAGGCGACGAACUGCAGCGAGUCUGAGAGGAUGAACCGCCAGACUGGGACGGAGACAGGGCCCAGGCUCCUACGGGACGCAGCAGUGGCGAAUUUUGGAAAAUGGGGGCGACCCUGAGACAGCUAUGCCGCGGGAGUAAAGUAGGCCUUCGGGUGGUAAAGCUCUUUCGGCCGGGAAGAAAUCGCAAAGGCUAAUACUCUGUGUAGAUGACGGUACCGGCAUAAGAAGCACCGGCUAACUACGUGCCAGCAGCCGCCGCCG